GUAAUAGCCAAAGACGAAUUUCAUGCAAUUUUGGAGGAGGAAGAGUUAAAAGGUGCAGUUGUCCUCAUUUUUGCAAACAAGCAGGAUCUCCCUGGUGCACUAGAUGAUGCUGGAGUAACUGAGGCCUUGGAGUUGCACAAGAUUAAAAACCGUCAAUGGGCAAUUUUUAAAACUUCUGCCAUAAAGGGUGAAGGCCUCUUUGAGGGCUUGGACUGGCUGAGCAAUACCCUCAAGUCAUGAGGUGGCUAACUUCGUUGGAGAAGAAUCGGAGAAAAUGUGCAGCUCUCCAAGCCAUUCACAAAGUAGAGAAUACAAAAUUAUCAUUGAUUUGUUAUGAAUUGCGAGAGGAAAGUAUUAGGAUUUGAGGAUAAGUCAUUUGGGAUCUUUUUUUGCUGGAUGAGAAUAGUUCAAACAGGCUCUUACUGUAAAAUGGUGCUAAAGGAUUUUCCUCUAAUUUUGUUCUUAUUUUCUGGUGUUA